rnacentral:misc_RNA from 1 species
UCCCAAGUGUCGCAAAUGAAUGAGUUCCCUAGUUUCUUUCCCAAGCCCAGUUACCAACAAUAGAGAAACUACACUCCUCCUAAAUGCUCGGUGUCACUUGAUCAAGCAGUUGUGCUUCUAACAUCUUACUCAGCAAGUUGAUGCCUAGCUGCCAAAUUUAGUUUUGUGAUUUGAUUUUAUCUCUAAUUCAAUUUAAUUUAAUUUUAUCUAUUAAAAAUUUUAAUUUAUUUGAUUUUUCAGUUUUUCUAUUUGACUAAUGCUCACCCUACCUAUUAUACAAUAACUUCUUUGGCAUGUUA